UACGAAAGGGGGGCUAGCGUUGCUCGGAAUUACUGGGCGUAAAGGGAGCGUAGGCGGGUUAUCAAGUUGGAGGUGAAAGCCCAGGCUCAACCUUGGAAUUGCCUUCAAAACUGAUAACCUAGAGGAUGAUAGAGGUAAGUGGAACUCCGAGUGUAGAGGUGAAAUUCGUAGAUAUUCGGAAGAACACCAGUGGCGAAGGCGACUUACUGGAUCAUUACUGACGCUGAGGCUCGAAAGCGUGGGGAGCAAACAGG
rnacentral:rRNA from 1 species